rnacentral:rRNA from 1 species
AUACGAAGGGGGCGAGCGUUGUUCGGAAUUACUGGGCGUAAAGGGUGUGUGGGCGGCCAUGUAAGAUAGCGGUGAAAUCCCGGGGCCCAACCUCGGAAUUGCCAUUAUUACUAUAUGGCUAGAAUGACAGAGAGGAUAUUGGAAUACCCAGUGUAGAGGUGAAAUUCGUAGAUAUUGGGUAGAACACCGGUGGCGAAGGCGAGUAUCUGGCUGUAAAUUGACGCUGAGGCACGAAAGCAUGGGGAUC